AACGAACGCUGGCGGCGUGCUUAACACAUGCAGGUCGAACGCGAAAGGGACUUCGGUCCUGAGUAAAGUGGCGCACGGGUGAGUAACGCGUAGAUAACCUGUCUUCAUGUCUGGAAUAAUACGCCGAAAGGGGUACUAAUACCGGAUAUUCUUGCUUUUCAUAAGUUAUGCAAGCAAAGGUGGCCUCUGCAUAUGCUACUGCAUGAAGAGGGGUCUGCGUACCAUUAGCUAGUAGGUGGGGUAAUGGCCUACCUAGGCGACGAUGGUUAGCGGGUCUGAGAGGAUGAUCCGCCACACUGGCACUGGAACACGGGCCAGACUCCUACGGGAGGCAGCAGUGAGGAAUAUUGCGCAAUGGGGGAAACCCUGACGCAGCGACGCCGCGUGAGUGAAGGAAGGCCUUCGGGUCGUAAAGCUCUGUCAAGAGGAAAGAAGUGUACAAUGGCUAAUACCUGUUGUAUUUGACGGUACCUCUAAAGGAAGCACCGGCUAACUCCGUGCCAGCCGCUGC
rnacentral:rRNA from 1 species